rnacentral:snRNA from 1 species
AUCUCUUUGCCUUUUGGCUUAGAUCAAGUGUAGUAUCUGUUCUUUUCAGUGUAACAACUGAAAUGUCCUCAAUGAGGAUAUUAUUACUGUUACAACAAUAUUUUUGGAACUAAAUAGGUCCCCCGACGUGCUUAUGCCGACGGGGGGCCGAGCCCAG